rnacentral:rRNA from 1 species
UAGGGAAUCUUCCACAAUGGGCGAAAGUCUGAUGGAGCAGUACCGCGUGAUGGAUGAAGGCCCUCGGGUCGUAAACAUCUUUUCUCUGUGACGAAUAUGACGGUAGCAGAGGAAUAAGGGUCGGCUAACUACGUGCCAGCAGCCGCGGUCAUACGUAGGACCCAAGCGUUAUCCGGAUUUACUGGGCGUAAAGAGUUGCGUAGGUGGCUAAGUAAGUAAAUAGUGAAAUCGUGUGGCUCAACCAUACACC